GGACAGAUGGCCGAGUGGUCUAAGGCGCUGCGUUUAGGCCGCAGUCUUUCGGGGCGUGGGUUCGAAUCCCACUCUGUUCA
rnacentral:tRNA from 13 species